rnacentral:rRNA from 1 species
GAUGAACGCUAGCGGCAGGCUUAACACAUGCAAGUCGAGGGGUAUAGUUCUUCGGAAUUAGAGACCGGCGCACGGGUGCGUAACGCGUAUGCAAUCUACCUUUCACAAAGGGAUAGCCCCAGAGAAAUUUGGAUUAAUACCUUAUAGUAAUACGACUUGGCAUCAAGAUGUAUUUAAAGAUUUAUCGGUGAAAGAUGAGCAUGCGUCCCAUUAGCUUGUUGGUAAGGUAACGGCUUACCAAGGCAACGAUGGGUAGGGGUCCUGAGAGGGAGAUCCCCACACUGGUACUGAGACACGGACCAGACUCCUACGGGAGGCAGCAGUGAGGAAUAUUGGACAAUGGGCGCAAGACCUGAUCCAGCCAUGCCGCGUGCAGG